rnacentral:rRNA from 1 species
UACAGGGGGGGCAAGCGUUGUUCGGAAUUACUGGGCGUAAAGGGCUCGUAGGCGGCCAACUAAGUCCGACGUGAAAUCCCAAAGCUUAACUUUGGAACUGCGUCGGAUACUGGAUGGCUUGAAUUCGGGAGAGGGAUGCAGAAUUCCAGGUGUAGCGGUGAAAUGCGUAGAUAUCUGGAGGAAUACCAGUGGCGAAGGCGGCAUCCUGGACCGACAUUGACGCUGAGGAGCGAAAGCUAGGGGAGCAAACGGG